rnacentral:rRNA from 1 species
UACGUAGGGUGCAAGCGUUAAUCGGAAUUACUGGGCGUAAAGCGUGCGCAGGCGGUUGUGCAAGACAGAUGUGAAAUCCCCGGGCUCAACCUGGGAACUGCAUUUGUGACUGCACAGCUUGAGUGCGGCAGAGGGGGAUGGAAUUCCGCGUGUAGCAGUGAAAUGCGUAGAUAUGCGGAGGAACACCGAUGGCGAAUGCAAUCCCCUGGGCCUGCACUGACGCUCAUGCACGAAAGCGUGGGGAGCAAACAGG